CUGGCGGCGUGCUUAACACAUGCAAGUUGAACGGUAUGACAUGGAAGCUUGCUGAAGUGUCAUAUAGUAGCGGACGGGUGAGUAAUGCAUGAGAAGCUGCCAUCGGAGGGGACAACAGUUGGAAACGGCUGCUAAUACCCCGUAUGCCGGAAGGUGAAAGGGAGCGAUCCGCCCGAUGAGGUGCUCAUGUCCUAUCAGCUGGUUGGUGGGGUAACGGCCUACCAAGGCGACGACGGGUAGCCGGCCUGAGAGGGUGAACGGCCACACUGGAACUGAGAUACGGUCCAGACUCCUACGGGAGGCAGCAGUGGGGAAUAUUGGGGCAAUGGGGGCAACCCUGACCCAGCGACGCCGCGUGGGGGAAGACGGCCUUCGGGUUGUAAACCUCUUUUGUACGGGAAGAAGGAAGUGACGGUACUGUACGAAUAAGUCCCGGCUAACUACGUGCCAGCCGCUGC
rnacentral:rRNA from 1 species